rnacentral:tRNA from 1 species
GCUCUGGUGGUGAAAUGGUUAAAGCACUUGGCUGCUAACCAAAAGGUCAGUGGUUCAAAUCCACCAGCU